UACGAAGGGGGCUAGCGUUGCUCGGAAUCACUGGGCGUAAAGCGCACGUAGGCGGAUGUUUAAGUCAGAGGUGAAAGCCUGGAGCUCAACUCCAGAACUGCCUUUGAUACUGGGCAUCUUGAGUCCGGAAGAGGUAAGUGGAACUGCGAGUGUAGAGGUGAAAUUCGUAGAUAUUCGCAAGAACACCAGUGGCGAAGGCGGCUUACUGGUCCGGUACUGACGCGUGAGG
rnacentral:rRNA from 1 species